GGGGAUUUAGCUCAGUGGUAGAGUGCUUGCCUGCAAGGCCCUGGGUUCAGUCCCCA
rnacentral:tRNA from 1 species